UUACUGUAUUGGCGUGAUCAAGGCUUUGGAGUUCAUUUGUUGCUUGUAAGGGCUGUCACUGGUUGUUUUAGCGCAUUUUUGCAAGAGCGGCGGCUCUAUAGCUCGCCACAUUCUACAGAAACUGGAGAAUAUGAACAUCAUCGACGUCGACCCUAGGGGCGGAAGGAGAGUCACAUCCAGCAUCCUGCGGGAUUUGGAUCAAGUUGCCGGGAGGAUCAUCGUAGCCCCAUGACGGAUUCAAGUCCCGGCAUGCCUGUGGAAAUGAUGCUGAUAUUUGGUUAUCCCCGUUUGGUUUCUCUCUGUUCUUUCGAAAGAACUGCUGUUUUUGUCUGAACAGAGGGGUUCUCUAUGCUGGAUGGACCCUCUUGUUCUUCUUGUUCCAUCAUUCAUUUCUCUUUGAACGCUACCCCAAUUUUUGUUGCUGUGGAGUAUGAUUGUUUCUCAAGCUCUUGGAUCUGGAACAUCA